rnacentral:rRNA from 1 species
UGGGGAAUAUUGGACAAUGGGGGCAACCCUGAUCCAGCAAUGCCGCGUGUGUGAAGAAGGCCUUAGGGUUGUAAAGCACUUUAGGCUGGGAAGAAGGUGAGUAGUUUAAGAGAUGACUCAUUUGACGGUACCGGCAGAAUAAGCACCGGCUAACUCUGUGCCAGCAGCCGCGGUAAUACAGAGGGUGCGAGCGUUAAUCGGAAUUACUGGGCGUAAAGGGCGCGUAGGUGGUUUAUUAAGAUUGAUGUGAAAUCCCUGGGCUUAACCCAGGAACGGCAUCGAUGACUGAUGAGCUAGAGUAUUGUAGAGGGUAGUGGAAUUUCCGGUGUAGCGGUGAAAUGCGUAGAGAUCGGAAGGAACAUCAGUGGCGAAGGCGACUACCUGGACAGAUACUGACACU